UACGUAGGCAGCGAGCGUUGUUCGGAGUUACUGGGCGUAAAGGGUGUGUAGGCGGUUCUCUAAGUUUGGUGUGAAAUCUCCCGGCUCAACCGGGAGGGUGCGCCGAAAACUGGAGGGCUAGAGUGCGGGAAGGGAGAGUAGAAUUCCUGGUGUAGCGGUGAAAUGCGUAGAUAUCAGGAGGAAUACCGGUGGUGCAGACGGCUCUCUGGACCGCGACUGACGCUGAGGCGCGAAAGCUAGGGGAGCAAACGGG
rnacentral:rRNA from 1 species